UGUCUUUAAGUUCUUCGAAGAGGUGAUCU
rnacentral:piRNA from 1 species